UUGGUUGGUUGGUUGUUUGUUGGUUGGUUAAUAAUUGAGAGUCUGUAUCCUACUUGUCGUUGAUUUACAGAAUGCCAAAUCUUAAUUGGUGAAUUUGUGAUUGGCGAUUAACCGAAUUAAUAAAAGUAGAAAAGUAAGUUGGACUGUCUUUAGCAAUACUGUGUUAAGGACUGGACUGUAACAGGAGGUGAGAAAGAAAAGCGUGACGUAUUACUUUUUAUUAUCAUUAAAAUAUAUGCGUUUUGUUUACGCGAAAAAAACUUUUAUUUACAUUGGUUAUUUUAUUCAAAGGCUAUGGAGAAACCAUGCAUCUUAGCCACCACGCUAGGAGAAAAUGGGGGCAUCGAUCGGCGUUUUGCGCCUUGUAUUGAGAAACACUUCACUAUAGUCCCAUAUGAGAAAUUUGUUUCGAGGAAAGAGGACUUCGCUGACAAAAUCCAGGCUCUGUUUGUUUGGAAUGCAACAAUAAAUGUUGAUCGUAAUCUGUUACAGUCCUUACCUAACCUCAAAGUUGUAGUAAACGGUGGGGUUGGAGUAGACCAUCUUGAUAUUUCUCUUAUCAAUAGCUUUGGAGUCAAAGUUUGCAACACUCCUCAUGUGGUGGACAAUGCCACUGCAGAUAUUGGCAUGGGUUUACUGUUAGCGUCUGCACGAAAGAUUGUUGAGGGACACAUUUUUAGUAGGUUUCGGGAAUCUGAUGAUUUGACAACGAUAUCCUUGGGCACUGACGUUAGUGGAGCCACCCUUGGCAUAGUUGGGAUGGGUAAAAUUGGAUACAAAGUAGCUAGGAGAGCUCAAGGGUUUGAGAUGAAAAUCCUUUACCACAAUAGGAAUCGAAGGACAGAGAGUGAAGAAAGAGCAGUUGGGGCCACAUAUUGUGAAAGUAUGGAAGAGUUGUUGCGGAGGUCAGACUUUGUCAUGGUGGUAGUCGAUCUAAACCCUCAGACACACAAGCUGAUUGGUGCCAAAGAGCUUGCAUUGAUGAAACCCAGCGCAACCCUUAUCAACAUUAGCAGAGGUUUGGUUGUGGACCAAGAUGCUUUAGUGGAUGCUCUGCAAAAGAAAGUGAUACGAGCCGCAGCAUUAGAUGUUACUUAUCCUGAGCCACUGCCCAGGGACCAUCCCCUGCUGUCCUUCCCAAAUGUCAUCGUCCUGCCCCACUUUGGAACCCACACUAUGGAAACGACACAGGUUAUGGUGGAGAGGAUGGUGACCAAUGCCUUGGCUGCUCUCAAUGGAGACCAGCUUCCUGACGAAGUCAAGGCAUAGCGCCAAGAUCACAGAGCCAUCUGUCCAUUCUUUCUUUACAGCAAAAGAAAAACCGAUUUUAUUUUAUCAUUAUAAAACUGAAAAAAAGUUUAAGACACGUCCCGCUUUUCCGCUUAUUCACUGAUGCGUAACACUAUUUGGCCAUGCAGAGCUAAACAAAACAAAACGCGAGUGGUCUGCGAAAAGUGGCCAGUUGAGUCGAAGCUGAUCGGAGAUCAUGA